AACGAACGCUGGCGGCAUGCCUAACACAUGCCAGUCGAACGAGACCUUCGGGUCUAGUGGCGCACGGGUGCGUAACGCGUGGGAACCUGCCCUUAGGUUCGGAAUAACUCCCCGAAAGGGGUGCUAAUACCGGAUAAUGUCUUCGGACCAAAGAUUUAUCGCCUUUGGAUGGGCCCGCGUUGGAUUAGCUAGUUGGUAGGGUAAAAGCCUACCAAGGCGACGAUCCAUAGCUGGUCUGAGAGGAUGAUCAGCCACACUGGGACUGAGACACGGCCCAGACUCCUACGGGAGGCAGCAGUGGGGAAUAUUGGACAAUGGGCGAAAGCCUGAUCCAGCAAUGCCGCGUGAGUGAUGAAGGCCUUAGGGUUGUAAAGCUCUUUUACCCGGGAUGAUAAGGACAGUACCGGGAGAAUAAGCUCCGGCUAACUCAGU
rnacentral:rRNA from 1 species